UUAGUAUGACUUAACCCCGAAUAUCCACAUUAUGGAUCUGGAUGAAGUUUAAAGUAGUUCCAAUUUAUUGUAGACACCCUGUACUUAUAAGGUUCGGUUCUUGAUGACGUCACUCGACUUUUAUCAUUUUUUAGUCAGUUCUAGUAAUGGCAGUCCUAAGACUGGACUGGGCGGAAUAAAUAAGGAAUGACACAAUAUAAGUUGAAAAUAAUAUGAAGAGCCAGUAUUAGGGUGACUAGAUUUGAGUUUGUCAAAAAGAGGUCACUUCGUCGCGCGGAGGUGGAGUAGUGUAUAGCAUGCCGCACCAUGACCAUGUGAAUGCAUACUAAUGUCACAAAUGAAAUGACUAUACGAACAUGUAUUUAUUGAGCUUUAACAAAAGUGCAAAUGUAAAAGAAAUCUUUUUUGUGGCAUUUAGUCCAGCACUUCUUUAAUGUGUUUGGUCCAUAUAUUGAAGUAAUAAUGAUAACUAAUAAAAAAUUCUAAAUAAUAAAUACUUUAUACGGCCACAAAUUAAAAUAAGAAGAUGAGGACACUUUUCAGUCCUCCUCAUGUGGUUGGGCAUAUUCCUCUGAAGACUGAAUUUUUCCCAAUAGUUGGAUAUUACCUAUCAAAGACAAAUAGGUACGAAAGUCCUUGCAGUUCAGGUGUUUGAGAUUAUACUGGGUGCACAGAAUCCCCUUCAGUGAUUCAAGAGACAAGCGAUUCUUCUCCAUGGUCCAUUGGGGUUGCAUCAGCAAAAAAAUUCGCUCCACAUUUGCAUUGUGAGCAGGUAUUGCAAAAAAAACAAAAAAAAAACUGCAAUUUUAAACAGCUCUGAAUGAAAAUCUACUCUUAGAAUUUGGUCCACAUCUGGUGUGCUUAUAGAUCACUGAAAACUUCAUCAAUAUUACUCCUUUCAAUUAAUUUUUUAAGAUUGGUGACCUGAUCAAAGCACUUUGCAUCAUCAAUUUCUACACCUUUUUCAACUAGGUGCCUGAUACAACGCUCAACAUAAAUCCAAUCAGGUAUCUCACUCAGAUCCAUCCACAUGAAAGUGGAGAACUCCUCCAUGGGCGCCAUCCCUCCCUCUAAAUAACCAAGGCACGCACUGUACAGUUCCUGUACUUCGGCACCGAAAGGGUCACACCCUUGGCCAAAUCCAUCAUUUUGCUUUUGUGCGAGCAUACCCUUGACUGAAGUUAUUUGUCUCUAUAUCCUGAACGUGCGUCUGAUAUAUACACAUCAGUGAAUGCAUUUGACAGAGGUCUAUCUCACUAAACUCAUCCUCAAAAAACUUCUUGAGCAGCAUGGGGGGUUUUCCUGUGACAAAAAAAAAAAGCUUUCAAUGCUGGAUGCAUCUGUAGAAAUCUCUCAAUUCCUGGGAAUAAUGAAAGCCAUCGUGUCUUGCUGUGAUAGAAGAGAGUUCUGUACUCAACAUCAGCAAACUCACAGUACUCCUUCAGACUCUUGGUGCGCACAGUAUAGAUGUGGAAGUGCUUAUAAAUUUUAAAGAUGAUCUUCUCAAUGUCAACAUCUAGUGUGUCUGCUCUAUGGCGAACACAGUUGUUGAAUGUGUGUGCUGGACAGGCCACGCCAAUUAGAGACUUGUUCUGCUUUUUUAAGUUUGCAAAAACAUUCCUCCCUUCCUCGGGACGCCGGAUUUCCAACAAGUUUGUAUUGCAGUUGUCACCAGUAAAUGCAAUACAUUUCGAAAAUAUCCCUUUUUCCCCAGUGUUUCUCUGAUGCAUUCUGUAAUUGUUUCAGCAGAUUCAUUUGGGGUGCUCUUAAUUUCAAAUAAUUUGGUUUGCAGACCACCAUUUUUCUAAUCAAAAUUACGAAUGACCAGAUGGAGUAGUUUCUCAGCUCCAUAAUUGCUGCCAUCAGUAGACACGCCACAGUACGGGAUUUCUCCAAGUGCUUCCAGAACAACUUGGACAGAAUGUGGGGCUAUCACGGCUUCUGUCUUGGUGCGAGCACUUGAGAUUUUUUGAGCUGUCACCGAAUCUGGGAAAAUGUUUUUUAGCAAACCAGAUGUGCUGUCCAUCGAUAUGUAGCUACUGUGUUGCUUUUCUGUAUGAAACGCAAGGGUACCCUCUGCAGCCCUAACAGAAGUGUCUCUUUUACUAACAAAAAAGUUCGUCACUUUACUUGAUGAGUUCUCUCAUCUUACUGCAGUUUUGAGUUUUCCAGAGUGCACGGGAGCUUCCAAAUCGCUGCCACUAUUAUUUGCAACUGGCACGUAUGCCUGCUUUGCAUGUCAUGCACUCAGCUUCCGAAGCAUUACGGCCGAGGCGAAAAUACGGGUUUUUUUUUUUAGUUCGUCCGAGAACUUACAUUUACGCUUCGGUAUGGCUGCAAAUGUCGUGUGCUGAAAACAAUGCAACUAAUGGAGAUGGCAAGGUAGUGUUGCCAGAUUGGAAAUGGUGAAGUAUCGUACCAAAGGCUCAAAAUGGUCGUAUUUGGAGGAUAAUUAUCGUUUAUCUGGCAACACUGAGAUCGGUCGACCAAUGACUGUUCUCUCUACAGUCAGAGCUCGCGCAAGAAGGUAGAAAAGAGAUACCAUUUCCAAAACGUGAAAGGGUUAAAUAACCAGUUUGUGAAAGACCCAGAGAAACACAAAUAUCCGACGAGGCAAAAUCCCGGACGUUUUUGGAAUCCCUGGCGUACGCAUUUUUUUAGUUAACAAAAAGAGGACAUGUCUGGGGAAAAGAAAACGUUCUGUCAGCCUAGACAGUAUGCUUUAAAAAACCGAAGAUGAACAAUCCUGACAAUUUGAAGAAUAUUUGAGUGGAGAGCAGCUUAGCUGUUAUAUCGUUUUAUUAAAUUAGCUGUGAGGAGCUAUGAGAUAAAGGAAAUAAACACAAAGCCUAGCAGCAAUGACAUAGGAAUGGAAUUACUCGGAUGUCGAUUCUGAAUUCUACUCCGAGUCCAACAAAUCCUCUUUGCUACUUUUUGUUUUUCACACACACUAGGGAUGACUUUUUCCAUAGUUAUAGUUUUGGAAAAUAAAAAAUAAGUAUUCAGUUAGUGGCAACUACAAAAAAAGCCGCUCUAUUUGCCAGUAUCAUAUUAUUUUCAUCUAUAUACACCAAAGAGAAGGAAAAAUAUAGAGGUGACAAGGAUUUCUGUUUACCUUAGUUAGGCAGACAGGCAAUAAAUAUUAGCCUAAAAUCCAGAGGGGCUGGGAAAUCAGCCUUUCUAAUUUAUAUCUGCUCCUGCAAAAUUGGAUCCCUUAAGCAUACCAUAGUUCAUAGGUGAAGGCAACGGAACAGUGGUUCUUACGUAGACAGUGUUCAAACUCUUUCUGAGGGCAUUUUUAUAACUAAUUAUACCUAAGAUAGUCGAGAAUGCUGUACUUUAGAGGGAUACAUUAACACAACGACGACCUAAAACUUUAAAGCAAGUGGCGAAACGAGGACGAAAACAAUAAACAGUUAUUUAAGAUGAAUGUAUGGGAGUCCUCUGAGAAUGGUCGGCUUUGACAUCUCUACAACUUGUCCUUCCAGGGAACGGAUAAGCUUUUACACCAUAUCAAGAGUAAUUUUAGAGAAUAACUCUGCUAAUCCAUGGACACCUACAAGUACUGUAUGGCUUUGCUUGCCACUGUCGGACGAUACCUACAGGAACAUUAGUCUACAUGGUCUCCACGUAUUGGAGUAUUUCAAUUCUAAAAUUCACCAGGAGGUCCUUGAGGAGGAUGAAUUGAGUUUUUUUUUUUUUCAGAUAUAGCUUUAAAACUCAAGGCUCCAUCUACAAAUACUUAAUACAAUAAUUUGUUAGUGUCUCUCCGGAGGAGGAGAAAUUGAUGGAAAUUCAUGAGGUUAAAUCGGAAGUUGGGACAGCUCAAUACUGGUCUGCAAAGGGAAUGAUCGUUUCUUUAGACGGAAAAGAGGGCAAAUGGAUCCCGGGACUACAUGUGACAGAUAUUGGUGGAACCUUCAAGAUGGAGCUACAGAAAAUCCCGUUAUUAAAUUCGGAAUAUAUUAAAAUUUUAGAGUAUACCUCAGAUGAAGGAUAUACAUUUAAUAAUAAAUGAGAAGAAAUAAAGUUUGUAGAUUAUGCUUGAAUUUGCGUUCCUUCUUUUCAACAUGUUUGCUGUUAAAAUUUUAUUUGCUCUUUAUUUUUAGAGCCAUUUAAGGGAAGAUACUCACUUCACACACUUAUCGCCAUCGGAGAGGAUCUUCUCAUGAAGAUGUAAAACUAUUUAGUCUGCAAUGAUAAUAUAAAAUUAUUGAAACAA
rnacentral:lncRNA from 1 species